CGGCAGUCUUGUUCCGUACAUAAUCUUGGUCUGCAAUAAUGGGAGAAGCUCUGAAGUACAGUAUCAUGGACUCAGUAAGAUCGGUAGUUUUCAAAGAAUCCGAAAAUCUAGAAGGUUCUUGCACUAAAAUCGAGGGCUACGACUUCAAUAAAGGCGUUAACUAUGCUGAGCUGAUCAAGUCCAUGGUUUCCACUGGUUUCCAAGCAUCUAAUCUUGGUGACGCCAUUGCAAUUGUUAAUCAAAUGCUAGAUUGGAGGCUUUCACAUGAGCUGCCCACGGAGGAUUGCAGUGAAGAAGAAAGAGAUGUUGCAUACAGAGAGUCGGUAACCUGCAAAAUCUUCUUGGGGUUCACUUCAAACCUUGUUUCUUCUGGUGUUAGAGACACUGUCCGCUACCUUGUUCAGCACCGGAUGGUUGAUGUUGUGGUUACUACAGCUGGUGGUAUUGAAGAGGAUCUCAUAAAGUGCCUCGCACCAACCUACAAGGGGGACUUCUCUUUACCUGGAGCUUCUCUACGAUCGAAAGGAUUGAACCGUAUUGGUAACUUAUUGGUUCCUAAUGACAACUACUGCAAAUUUGAGAAUUGGAUCAUCCCAGUUUUUGACCAAAUGUAUGAGGAGCAGAUUAAUGAGAAGGUUCUAUGGACACCAUCUAAAGUCAUUGCUCGUCUGGGUAAAGAAAUUAAUGAUGAAACCUCAUACUUGUAUUGGGCUUACAAGAACCGGAUUCCUGUCUUCUGUCCUGGCUUGACGGAUGGAUCACUUGGUGACAUGCUAUACUUCCAUUCUUUCAAAAAGGGUGAUCCAGAUAAUCCAGAUCUUAAUCCUGGUCUAGUCAUAGACAUUGUAGGAGAUAUUAGGGCCAUGAAUGGUGAAGCUGUCCAUGCUGGUUUGAGGAAGACAGGAAUGAUUAUACUGGGUGGAGGGCUGCCUAAGCACCAUGUUUGCAAUGCCAAUAUGAUGCGCAAUGGUGCAGAUUUUGCCGUCUUCAUUAACACCGCACAAGAGUUUGAUGGUAGUGACUCUGGUGCCCGUCCUGAUGAAGCUGUAUCAUGGGGAAAGAUACGUGGUGGUGCCAAGACUGUGAAGGUGCAUUGUGAUGCAACCAUUGCAUUUCCCAUAUUAGUAGCUGAGACAUUUGCAGCUAAGAGUAAGGAAUUCUCCCAGAUAAGGUGCCAAGUUUGAACAUUGAGGAAGCUGUCCUUCCGACCACACAUAUGAAUUGCUAGCUUUUGAAGCCAACUUGCUAGUGUGCAGCACCAUUUAUUCUGCAAAACUGACUAGAGAGCAGGGUAUAUUCCUCUACCCCGAGUUAGACGACAUCCUGUAUGGUUCAAAUUAAUUAUUUUUCUCCCCUUCACACCAUGUUAUUUAGUUCUCUUCCUCUUCGAAAGUGAAGAGCUUAGAUGUUCAUAGGUUUUGAAUUAUGUUGGAGGUUGGUGAUAACUGACUAGUCCUCUUACCAUAUAGAUAAUGUAUCCUUGUACUAUGAGAUUUUGGGUGUGUUUGAUACCAAGG
rnacentral:misc_RNA from 1 species